AUCGUUUCUCGGCCUUUUGGCUAAGAUCAAGUGUAGUAUCCCCAAGCUAACAUUGAAUCUCAUUGCCUUGUGCUGCCUCCUCCCUCU
rnacentral:snRNA from 1 species